CCAACAAACACAACAACAGUAUUCUAUCUCUCAUACUUCACAUUAAAAAAACACUUUUGGUACUUUCUUUCCUCUGGUCUUUCUCUCACUCUCAACAACACAAUCAAUACUCUAAAAAUCACUCUUAAUAAACAAACAUACAAGAACCCAGUUUGAAGUCUAUGAAUGAUGAUGUACAAAAUAAUGAACUAGCAAAGCACCAGCAACUAAAGUUCAAGUAGAAGACGAGACAAGCCGAAAUUAAUUACGUUUUACUGCAUGAAGAUGGAUGCAUAUUUAAUGAAACUGCGGUUGAAGCAAUGGCUUCCUCCAGGGUUAUGCAUAGAGUCGGAAAAAAAAGACGGAAAAGAAACUUGUCUCAAGAGAUGAGUAAAGCUCGUUAGUUUUAAAACAUCUGUUUUUCUAUUGUACAAACGCUGACUACCAUAUACGUUGGUUGUUUUUAUAUUAUAAUAAGUGUACUUACAAUUUUAAAACUAAUUAAUUGUCUCAAAUGAACAAAAAGAAAGUACACGAGUAAAA